rnacentral:lncRNA from 1 species
AACAAAAACUACGUCUACACCAAUUAUUUUAACAGAGAUAAUUUAAUACAGGGAAUUGGCUGAACAGAGGCAAAAAAGGAAGACUGAGGAUUGAAGAGGUAGUAACUGAAGCAAGUAGCUACCACCCUUAAGACUGAGGGUCAGAAGAGGUCGGGGCUACUGGGAAUGAGAGGCAUGGAGCAGGAGCUCUGCAGAACUGGCAUCCAGGCUGGAUCUGGAAGGGUGGAAAAGACUGGAACCCACUGCUGCUACCGGGCUGAAGGUGGUUGCUAAGGCUAUGCAGAUGGGAACGGGAAGAAAGUAGGAGAGAACAAGCCCCUCUCUCUCCCCUCCUGCCUUCCAGUUUCCCUCAACCAAUAGAAUGUGGCAGAAGUGACAAUAGGUGUGUUCUGGAGCCUAGGCCUCAGGAGACCGUAUGCCUCCAGCUCACCCUCUUGGAAUAUUGCCCUGAGACCACCAUGGCACAAAGAACCCAUGAGGAAAGACCACGUGGAGAGAGACGCCCAGCCCAGACAGCCCAGCUGCCCCAGGCCACCUGCCAGCUGAGUAUGGCUGCAUGAGCGAGCCCAGAUGAGCCCCCCAAGAACCAACCAACCGACUGACAGAGUUCCUGUGCCUGCCUGCGUGGGAGAAGCGUCUAUCUAUAGCGUGCUAUUUUUAGCUCCAUCAGCUGAAGAACCUGACAGCCAGUUAAUGACUGGGACCCAUCGGCGUGUCUGCCAGGCUGUGGAAUGCGCACGCCGGGAGCAGAUGUGCUGAGAGGCUCAAGUGUCAAUAGCCACAUGGGGCUAGGAGCUGCCGUACUGGAUGGAGCAGCUCUAGAGGACUGGCAGCGCCUUUUAAUCUACAGGGAGCUUUCGAAGAUGAUAACGCCGUGAUGUGUUCCCAGAGACCCUGACUUAAGUGCUCUACGGUAGGGCCUGGCAUCAUCAUUUUAAAAGUCUCCAGGUGAUUCUAAUGUGUAGCCAAGUGUUGAGAACCACAGGGCCCCAUGAUAUCCUGAGUCAUUCUAGCCUCUUCUAGCCUCUAGGAAA